AUUUAAAUAGUUUAAUAAAAACAUUGGUCUUGUAAAUCAAAAUUAAAAACUUUAUAUUUUUUUUUAAAUA
rnacentral:tRNA from 1 species